rnacentral:lncRNA from 1 species
AAAUUACAGAAAUAGCUUAAAUUUUACUAUUUUUUUAAGUACAGCUUAUAUGAAAAAUAAAAUAAAAAAUAUAGGUUACUGAUGAGUUAAAAAAGAUAUCUCAAUUUAAAUGCAAAAAAAUGCCAUUUUUGCACCAAAGGGAGAUAAUUUGGAGAUUUUCAACAAUAUAAACAUUUUAAAAGUCAUCUGGGGCCAAAACAAAACAUUCUUUUUGGUUUAUUUUUGUACCAUAUCUUAAAGUUAUAACUAAUAGUGGAAUAAUAAAAUUUGUAAUAAAAAAAAAUGUUUAAAAUUAUGCUGAAAUGUUUGUACCCUCGAGCCUCCUUACUAUUUGGGAAAUGAAGAAAAUUUGUAGACUUUUUUAAGCAUGAUAUUUUGAUAUGAUACAUUUAGAGUGAUUUAUAUUUUUUUCCAGAAUAUUUUGAGCCUGUUUUUAAGCUUGAUGAUUGAAGUUUUUAAGGACUUUGACUGGCUAUACAGCCCUUGCAUGGUUGGUUUUAAAGCUUGAUAUUUGGGUAUGAUAGAAGGGGUAAUGAAUAUUUUUCCAGAUCAUUUUUAGCCUUUAAAAGCUUGUUAUUUGGUAUGAUACAAAGGUUAAUGAAUAUUUUUAUCCAAUAUAUUUUGGGUCUUUUUUAAAGCUUGAUAGUUUGGUAUGAUACAAGGUUAAUUGAUACUUUUUCAAGAAUAUUUUCGAGCUUUUUGAAGGUUGAGAUUUGAGUAUGGUAGAAGGAAUAAUGACUUUUUGUUUCCUGAAUAUUUUGUGCCAUUUUUUAAGCUUGUCCUUUGGAUAUGAUACAAGGGGUAAUGAAUAUUUUUUCCAGAAUAUUUUUGGCCUUUUUAAAAGCUUGAUAUUUUGAUAACUGGUUUAACACAAGGGCAAUAACAUUUCUUUUCCAGACUAUUUUGCUCAAUUUUAAAACCUUGAUUUUUUGUAAGUUCUGAAAAAGGUGCUGUUUUGAUGAAUAUGGAAUAUUAUAAAUGUAUCAAUAGCUUAAUGUAUCAGAUCUUUAUGUUGUUUAAUAAGGAUCUAUCAUUUAGCAUGUCUUUUGUUUUUUCCAUCCGAGACAAUUAUGGGUCACUGCAUAUCCUUCCACCAAUGAGCAAAACUUGUAUCACAUAGAUAGACAAUAAUCGUGUUUCAACUUGACAUAUCAACGAUAUAAAGAUGAGGCUUAGAAACCAGGAAAUGAGAGGUUCUGCCAAACUUUUUCCCUGUUUUGGGCCGAAUCCUUAUAUCAGUGAUAUGUCAGGUCAAGACACUACUAUUGUCUUUAUACUGCAAUCUAGAAAAAACAUUCUCAAUUGUUGUUUAUUGUGUUAUUGUUAUUUAUUUAUUUGAUUUAAAUAUUUGGAAAAAAUCCCCCUUUAAAAAGGCCUAUUAUGUGGCGGAGUAAUGUUAUACUGCAAUAAAAUGUGAUCUGUUGAAACC